CUUAGCAGAGAUGCUUUGGUGCCUUCGGGAACUCUGAGACAGGUGCUGUAUGGCUGUCGUCAGCUCGUGUUGUGAAAUGUUGGGUUAAGUCCCGCAACGAGCGCAACCCUUAUCCUUUGUUGCCAGCGAUUCGGUCGGGAACUCAAAGGAGACUGCCAGUGAUAAACUGGAGGAAGGUGGGGAUGACGUCAAGUCAUCAUGGCCCUUACGAGUAGGGCUACACACGUGCUACAAUGGCGCAUACAAAGAGAAGCGACCUCGCGAGAGCAAGCGGACCUCAUAAAGUGCGUCGUAGUCCGGAUUGGAGUCUGCAACUCGACUCCAUGAAGUCGGAAUCGCUAGUAAUCGUAGAUCAGAAUGCUACGGUGAAUACGUUCCCGGGCCUUGUACACACCGCCCGUCACACCAUGGGAGUGGGUUGCAAAAGAAGUAGGUAGCUUAACUUUCGGGAGGGCGCUUACCACUUUGUGAUUCAUGACUGGGGUGAAGUCGUAACAAGGUAAGCGUAGUGCU
rnacentral:rRNA from 1 species